rnacentral:rRNA from 1 species
UACGACUACAUAUCAGGCAUAUCAAUAAGCGGAGGAAAAGAAACUAACAAGGAUUCCCCUAGUAACGGCGAGUGAAGCGGGAAGAGCUCAAAUUUGAAAUCUUCAAGGGUUUCCCUUGACGAAUUGUAGUUUAUAGAAGUGUUUUCUGUUAGAGAGGUGGUAAAAGUUCUUUGGAAUAGGACAUCAUAGAGGGUGAGAAUCCCGUAUUUGAUCACUUUCUACUAACGUUGUGAUACACUUUCAACGAGUCGGAUUGUUUGGGAAUGCAGUCCAAAAUGGGUGGUAAAUUUCAUCUAAAGCUAAAUAUUGGCGGGAGACCGAUAGCGAACAAGUACCGUGAGGGAAAGAUGAAAAGAACUUUGAAAAGAGAGUUAAACAGUACGUGAAAUUGUCAAAAGGGAAGCGUUUGACACCAGUGUUGUUUUUCCGAAAAUCAAUUACGAAUGUUUUGUUUUUAAGGAGUUAUGACUUCAUCGGCUUGCUUCUUUCUUUACGAAACUUUCUUAAUGCACUUUUCGGUUAACAAGUCAACAUCAAUUUCUUUUGUUGUAAAAGGGUAUGAGGAAGGUGGCUUUCUUUUCGGAGAAAGUGUUUAUAGCCUUUGACUCCUGCAAUCGGAGAGACUGAGGUCUGCAGCGUAGAUCCUUUUUUGGAUUAGAUUCAUUUGUGCUAAGUUAUAGCUUUUUAUAGACAACAUGUUGACUAUAUUUAGUCUUGUAGCUUACUCGCUUAUGUAAUUUUACCUACGCUUAGGAUGUUGAUCUCUCACAGUCGAGC